UCUCCAAACUCAAUGUGCAUGCCUUACUUUUCAUUGCAUGGUUUCCAUUUUAAUCAUGCGCACAUUACAUAACAUGUUCAUCAAAUUCAAGAACAAGGUUUAUUAUCUGAUCAAGCUCAGUAACUUCAAGUGUCGAUAACAAAAUAUGAGCAGAGGAUGAGCAUUUGAAGUAAGAGUAUGCUACUCAAAUUUCAACUAGUGAGACUAAGAACAACAAAGCAUGGAAUUAGAAUUGACAAUCUUAAAACUAUUUAAACAUGAAUACCAAAGAUGUGUGUGUCUUAUGUAGACAGGUAUCAUGUUGAUGUGUGUGCCUACGUAGCUGAAGUACUAUUCUUUUGACCAGUCCAUGAGAUUCCCUGAAAUCUGUGGCUCCUAAAAAAGGAAAAAAGAAAAUAAUGAAAUCCAAAAGGAGGUUGAGAAAGGGUUACAAAUAGGCAGCCCUGUGCCUAACCAAUAUGAUAUUUAAAUAAUUGAAUCCGCAAAAAAAAAAAAAAAAAAGGUUCCUGAAACAUGUAAUUUAAUUUAAAUUACUUAUACA